UACGUAGGGUGCGAGCGUUGUCCGGAAUUACUGGGCGUAAAGAGCUCGUAGGUGGUUUGUCGCGUUGUUCGUGAAAACUCACAACUCAAUUGUGGGCGUGCGGGCGAUACGGGCAGACUGGAGUACUGCAGGGGAGACUGGAAUUCCUGGUGUAGCGGUGGAAUGCGCAGAUAUCGGGAGGAACACCAGCGGCGAAGGCGGCACUCUGGGCUGGUACUGACGCUGAGGAGCGAAAGCGUGGGUAGCAAACCGG
rnacentral:rRNA from 1 species